rnacentral:tRNA from 1 species
GGGCCGGUAGCUCAGCUGGUAGAGCAUCUGACUUUUAAUCAGGUGGUCGCGGGUUCGACCCCCGCCCGGCUCA